UACGGAAUGUGCAAUCGUUAUUCGGAAUCACUGGGCUUAAAGAGUCCGUAGGCGGCUUGUUAGGUGAGGUGUGAAAGCCCGCGGCCCAACCGAGGAAUUGCGCUUCAAACCGGCAAGCUAGAGGAGGAUAGAGGUGGGCGGAACUGAUGGUGGAGCGGUGAAAUGCGUUGAUAUCAUCAGGAACACCGGAGGCGAAGGCGGUCCACUGGGUCCUUUCUGACGCUGAGGGACGAAAGCUAGGGGAGCGAACGGG
rnacentral:rRNA from 1 species